CUAUGUCUCUUCCUUUUCCCAGUGGUGGGUGCCUUGGCUGAUUAAUCCAAUGGACACAAGUGGAGCAGGAGGGCAGGCAUCUCUUGCUGCUGAUAGUGAGAUUUAGAGGUAGAAUGAGGUGACACAGAUCAUGUUGCAGAUGUCAAAAGUUUGGAGAGCAGUUGGUAUGAGUGGGGUGGUGCUAAGGCUGGAUUAGGGGGACUUGGCUUUAUAAAACUCAAGAGCCACAGUACAGAGCCUGGUCAAGGACGGACAUGAGAUUGUUAGCUAGGAGUGAGAAACCUUGAAACACACUGGUGGUUUUGAUGUUUUCUGGGAAGGGAGUGUCAGUGCUUGCAGUUUCAUUGUAUAUGAAGCUCCUAUUCCAUGCUUAUUUGAGUGGCUGAACCAAGUCCUUUGAAAGGAAAUGGAACAUAGUAGACAGGGCCAUGUGACACUAGAAACUAGAAGCAGAUGGCCUCUCUAUUUCCGAUAACCAGACCAAAAGACAUUCAUGUUGAAUGAUGUUGUCCUAAUAGAGACUUGUGAGUACAGGAAUGAGCUGUUUCAAAUGUCAAGCGCCACUUGGGUCCAUCGUCAGAGAUUUUUCACAGCAGAUAAAGUUGUCACUUCUGGGGAAUUUUAGCCAGUAACACUAGUACUGGGGUUACAAACCCAAAAGUCUAUUAAUACAUUAAUGUAAUAAUUAAUACAUUAGUCAGACAGGUAAUGUAAAUGAGUAAUAGGCCAGGUUUGAGAAAAACAACCGCACAUGUGUGAAGAUAAAUUUCAACUGAUAAUUAACCUUGAAUAAGCAGAAGGCAUUAGAGAACAGUGGAGCCUGCAUUCCACUGGAAAUUGCAUGCUCCAUCUGAAGGGAGGGGCUGGCCCUAGGCAUUGCUAGUUAGCUGUUGCCAAGACAGACAUUGCAAACAUAUUUUGGGCCAGAUUCUGUUUGAGAACUCUUAGUUCUGGACACUGUUGCAGCAGCGUCUUUCUUAACUGUUGGCUGUGAGAUAGUAGGGUGCCUUGGUACCCAGUGGAGUUAGAGUUAAGCAGGGUCUCUGAUUGUAGCUCUGUCGUUGCUGAGCUGUGACAUCUUGGGCAAGUCACUUAACUCUGCGUUUCUCAGUUUUCUUCUCUGAAAGAUUUUGAAUAAUGAAUCAGUAGCUUUACUGUGACAAUUUAGUGAGAGAUUGAUACCUAAAAUACUCAGAAAAGUUUCUUCCAGCAGAUGAUGAAUUUUUUUUAUGUUAAGAGAAUGUUCUGGUCAAUUCUGUGGACCUAAUAUAUGAAAGUGAUUAUUAUAAUUAUAAUGACUAUAAAUGAUCAUCUAUUUGCAUCCCUUUUCACUAUAAGUGAUCACUAUAAAUAAUCAUAAUCACUAUGUGCUGAAAAGGGAUGCAAAUAGAUGAAUGAUUAGAACAGAGUAGUAAUGAUGACCAUUUUCUACACACACACACACACACACACACACACACUUUGUUCUCUCUUCUUGCCACAUGUAUUAACAUCUUCUGUGUGCCAAGCCCUGUCUUAUCAAAUGCUGGGUCUUCAAAGAUGAAUCAGGAUGGUUCUUAAUCUUUGUGGCCAUAAAUUGUCUCAGUUGGCACUGUUGUGGCCCAGGACAGGGCAGCCUUGGUCUGAGCCAUUUCAGAAAGCAGAAACCAAACAUGAGUAGUGAAGAGGCAGACCUCAGCUCUGUAGCAGCAAGCAUUCACUUAUGACAAGAUGUGGCCAGCCAUGGACCUGGCCGUUUUGGGAGGCUGUCAGCACGUCUUUUGUGGGCUUUAUUUAAGUAAAAGUCGGCGAUUGUCUGUUGGGGAUGCCAUAGAUCAGUUGUCUCUUACUACUGAUAGUGAGAUUUAGAGGCAAAGUGUAAAGGCCAGAAGUCAUGUCUCAGAAAUUAAAAGCUUGGAGAGCAAUUGGUAUGAGUGGGGUGGUGUUGGGGGCAGAGUUGGGGGGGGACUUAAUUCCAUUAAGCACAAGAGCCAUGUUAGCCUGAUUUUAGGUAGGAUUUUAGAUAUUAAGAAUCCUGCUUCAAGGAUUUUGUAUUAUCUGAUCUGCUAAAAUACAUAUUUAUUUAUUUAUUUAUUUAUUUAUUUACUCUGGCUUGGCAUUAAUAUCAACUGGAGAUCUUUAAAACAUUGUCAAUUCUUGAGCCCUACCCCCAAGAUUUGUAUUCGUUUGACUUGAGGUGGAGCUAGGGUGUGGACUUCUUAAAAGAGUUUUCUCAGUGAGUCUAGUAUGUGGAGAAUCACUGGGCACAGAUUAACGGAGAAUGAAAAUAUUAGGAACAGAACACUUGAAGUGGAAGAAGAUAGUUCCUUGUGAAAUUUGCUUAAAUAUGUACCCUCUUUGGAUGCUUUUUUUCUUCAUUGUAGGUAUAAUGGCCUCCUGUUAACAGGUCCUCUAUUAAAAUGGUAGCUAGGUUACUACUCUAAUUAUAAGUGUUGAAAUAACUUUAUUCCACCUAAAAGGUUAAAGUGUACCCGUUCAUCAAAUGCAUCCAGCUGCAGGUGCCCUUCAUCAGUUUCUUGCCUUUCAACAGAUUGUAUUAAGGUUAGAUUUUUUAUGUGAAAUGGAUUAUCCUGUGCAAGAAAAUGAAAUUAGAAUUAUAAAGGUGGUUUGAAGGUUCUUUAGAGAGAGACUUCUCUACUUGCAUGGCAGCGACCAACUAUUGAUUGGCUAAUGCAAGUAAUUGUGAGGAGCAUAGAGUGGUAUCAGGAAGAUUGCAGAUAACCCUAAUCAUGCAGAUAACCUAAAACCAAACCCGUAAGACCAGCAAAAGUAUUGCCAUCUUUAGAUGUUAACCAAAAAAUUACAAACAAAUAAAUUAAGUACCACAGUUUAAGAAAAUACGGUAUUGCUAUAUGAUAAAAUAGUCUUAUUGCUUGCCUUUCCUUGUUUGACUCUUCUUCCUUAAAGAAAGAUCAGAACAGCCCUUGGGUUGGACAGCAGCACAGUUGCUGAAUGCUUCCCACCUCUGCCACUGACCAAGCUCAGAGCCUCACCCUGGUUGUGACAUCUCAGCCAUAGGAGCUCCUGGGAGGGAGAGGAACAAAGGGUGAUAAUUGGGGCUGGAAGAGGGAGUUAUGACCUAGUCUUCUCUGUGCAUCAGAUACCUGAUGUUUAGAUGUUUUGAUGAUUCAUAAUAAAUUUUCUCCUCAUGUAUGCCUGCAACACAUUCUGUGAACAUAAACCUGUAUUUUACCAAGAUAUCAAUUAAGCAAAUACAUGGAUGAAUAAUCUGCCCUUAGGUAAAGUGAGAUAGCCCAAAUUUUGCCCUACCUCCAAUUCUCUUAAAAGACGACAUCUUCGUGGGUUUGUGUUCUGCUUCCCAUGCUGCCGCAUCAUGUAGAACCUCUUUCUCACUUUUUCUUCUCCUGCCUAGCCAGUGGCUGGUCAUUUGAAGAAUUAAAUAAACACUUUCCUGCCUUUUGGAAGCUUUCUUUGCAGCUCCAGGCUCAGUUAACUAGAGCCUUCUCUCUGCUCCUCCUCCAUGUUCCCAGUUCCCAUGUCUGAUACUCUUGUUCUGGCAAUCAACACAGAGUAUAGACACUUUCUCCAUGCAAACAUAUGCUGCUUAAAGGCAGAACUGUGGCACGUUCUUCCUGAUAUCCCAGCAUCCAGCACUGUGCUUGGCAUGUAGUAGAUGCUCAAUAAAAGAUUAAACGAACUUUCCAUUGAUUUACUUGUGGUUUUCUAUAAGAACAGAAAAAAAAAUAAUUUUUUAGUUUUUAUCUAAAAUGAAAAUUAGAAAUUAUCCAUUCUAAUACAGUAUUGAUUCUGUACAAUUUUCAUUGUAUUGUUCUGAUUCCAUUUUUGAGAGCAUCUUUGUAUAGAGGCAAUAGUAGCUGAUUGGUCUAUCUUUACUAUAGGCAGAAGUUUAGCAACAGAUAUUUUUGCCUUGAAGUAGCUGUAGGUGUGUUCUGUACAGUACUUAAGAAACAAUACUGAUAUUGCCCUCUUCAAUACUCACCCACCCACCCACACACAUGCAGGUGUAUGCAUUUGUACACACCUACAUCCUGAUUCAUUGGUGGUUCUGGAAUGGGACCUGGACAUCAGUUUUUUAGAAGUCCUCAAGGCAACACUAAUGUGCAACUAGGUUUGAGAACCAGAGCUUUGAGCAGUUCUGUUAUGCAGUGGAACCAUUCUGUUUACAAAAAAAUUCUCUGACAUGCCUGUGGAAGGUCCCAUACACUCUGUACUAUUUUUAAAGUAUUAGUAUUACUGUUUGUGGAGCUUUUGUGGGAGGUGAGAUCUUUUCAGUUAGGCAAACCAGCAACUGAGCCCCUGCCUUGUUAUGCCCAUGACCUUAUUUAGAUAUCUUCUUACAUUUACAUUGGCUUUUUUUUUUGGAUUAAUUUUUUAAAUUCUUUUCAAAGAUGUGGAAGAGUGAAGAAAGCAACAGCUUCCUAUGUACCUACCUCUGAGGAUAAACAUGACAUUUUGCCACAUUUGCCUCAACUCCUUUUAUUUAAAAAAAAAGGUAUUUGUAACUUCAGUUUUUCACUUCCUGCAGGUAACCAUUCUGCUGUAGUUGCUAUUCAUAAACAUACUGUUUUUGUGCUUUUACUACAUAUGUAUGUAUACGCAGAGCAACAAACAGUAUACAAUCAUUCAUCUGUAUCUGAGGGGGACUGGUUCCAGGACCUCCUUCAGACCAAAACCCACAGAUACUCAAAUCCCUGAUAUAAAAUGGCAUCAUAUUUACGUAUAACCUAUAUAUAUCCUCCCAUAUAUUUUAAAUCAUCUCUAGGUUACUUAUAAUACCUAAUGCUAUGUAAAUACUUGUUAUAGUGUUUAGGGAAUAAUGGCAAGAAAAAAGUCUGUACUUGUUCAGAUGCAACCAUCCAUUAAAAUAUAUAUAUAUUUUCAAUCCACGGUUGGUUGAAUCCACAGAUGUAGAACUCACAGACAUGGAGGUCUGACUCUGUGUUUUAAAGUAUCUCAGCUGGUGUCCUUGUUCAUUUUGCUAUGACUAACACCAAUUUAUUCAUUUUACCAAUUGAUUUAUCUAUUCUCUAUGCAGCUUUAUUUCCAAAACACACUUUAUGCAUUUCCUAGCUUUGAGACAUUGGGUACAUCUUCACUUUCAAGAGUCUGUCAUUGAAAAACAGGGGUCAGAAACCUGUAUCAGAGGAUUGUUUUGGGGAUUAAAUGAGACGAUGUAUGUAAAAUGUUUAGCACAGGGUUUGGCAGACACAUAAACACACAUUACAAACAUUUGCUAUUAGCAAGAUAUGUAGUGCUGUGGUUACUUUGCCAUUAAAUAAAAUAAUAUGUGAAAAUAUAAUACCUGGCUUGGCAACUGCUGGGUCUCUUUUCUCUUUCCCCUAAUAAUCUCCCAGGUAUAUUUAUUGCUGUUCUGCACAUUUUGCCAUCAGAGGCGUCAGAGGGCUGUGAAAGGAUUUCUGGCUUGUCCGUCAGUACAGGAUGAAUUAACAGAGGCUGGGGAGAGAGACAAGAAGUUACUAUGUGGGCUACAGGGUGAUAGAGGAAGGAUAUGGGGGCAGUGCUCCUUUUCCAGCCGGUUUUAAAUUCUCUUCCUUAUGCUUUACUCCUCCUGAGGGCCUAUUUUCUGAGAAGUACUUGCCAUAUCCUUUAUGUGCAUUAUCUUUUGUUUAAUAACUUCCUGAAUUAUAUAUCUUCAUCUGUAACUUAAGAAUUAGUGUUCCCCGUUAGGUCUGCCUAAUUCCAAAACUCAUGAGCUUCCCACUCUAGCAAACAAGCCAACCAAAUGAGGGGGAAAAAUAAAACCACCUAAAUGAACUAAUUUUAAUUAAACUGACCAGAAAAAAGUGAGUAUAUAAGCAGUUAAAUGCCAUUGUGUAGCUAUUAGAUAUAUUAUCAAAGUAUUUAUUCAUAUUUAAGGGACAUAGAUCUUAAAAAGAGAAAGUAUUGAUUCUCUCUUGUGACCGCCAUGGAAUAAAUGCCUUUCACCGUCUGCCAUGACUCUGAGGCCUCCCCAGGCAUGUGGAACUACAUGUGCAUUGCCAUUGCGAUUUCUCUUCUCAUGACUCUGAUAUGUGCUAUCGCUACUUAUGGAACAUACAAGCAACAUGCAGCCUGGAUUAUCCCAUUCUUCUGUUACCAGAUCUUUGAUUUGCCCUGAACACCUUGGUUGCAAUCACUGUGCUUGUUUAUUACCCAAACUCCAUUCAGGAAUACGUAUGACAAUGGCCUCCUAAUUUUCCCUACAGAGAUGAUGUCAUGUCAGUGAAUCCUACCUGUUUGGUCCUUAUUAUUCUUCUGUUUAUUAGCAUUAUCUUCACUUUUAAGGGUUACUUGAUUAGCUGUGUUGGAAACUGCUACCGAUUCGGCAGGAAAUCCUCUCAUGUCCUGGUUUAUGUUACCAGCAAUGACAAUACGGUGCUUCUACCGCCGUAUGAUGAUGCCACUGUGAAUGGUGCUGCCAAGGAGCAGCUGCCACCUUACGUGUCUGCCUAAGCGGAGCUGAGGGCAGCAGCUUGACUUUUUUGACAUCUGAGCAAUAGUUCUGUUAUUUCAUUUUUGCAAUGAGUUCUCUGAGCUUGUUUGUUGCUGAAAUGCUACUUUUAAAAAUUUAGAUGCUAGGUUGAAACCUGUACUUUUCAGCAUAUGCUUUACUAGAACACUGUGAUGAUGAGCUGUAGAAUUCUUUCUGUAGGAUUCGGAGUGUAAUGGGCUUCAUAACGUUCCCUAGGCACUGAAACUUCCUCCAAAUCUGAUGGACCCAGAGUCAGAGAAGUUCACUUUUGUACCUGCUGGGUUUCAGAGUUAGGCAGUUAGUCACAUUUUUUUCUCUCUAUUCCCUCUAUUUUAAAAGUGUAAAAUAAAACCAAAAGUAGACAACUUUAAGCCAUCCAGUGUAGAGAACAAAACCUUAUGAAAACAGGAAUGUCAGUUGGGUAAUCAUUGUUCUAAUUAGGUAAAUAGAAGUCCUUAUAUAUGUAUUACAAGAAUUUGCCAGUUAGCAUCCCUUAUGACUUAAGUUCAAUAACAGUUUGCACUUGGUGGUAAAGGAUUUUUCUCCAUGGCUUAAAUUAAGACCAUUAUAAAGCACUAGGCUGUGGGAGCAGUAACCAUCUGAUGAGUGCUCUCAUGCAUCCGGGUCCAGGGACGUGGGGUGACGUGCCUCGUCUGUGUUAGAGGGUAGGAUGGAUGUGUUUGGCGCUGCAUGGGAUCUGGUGCUCCUCUCCUGGAUUCACAGCCCUUCCCAGGGCCCACUUUCACUAAGUGUUCUGCCAUACCCUGAUUCAAGGAGGUCAUCCAGCUGACUUUUUCAAGCGGAAUUGGGAUAUAUUUGAUA